rnacentral:lncRNA from 1 species
UCUAGCACUGAGCGUGACCAACACGAGAAGUCACAUGGAUGUUUUCUCACUCGUUAGUGACUUUUCCAAUGUUGCAGUUGUAUGAUUGAUCUUUUGAUCUGAGAUGACACUACUGCUCGUAGUAAGACUGCUGGAGUUUGACUGACACAUCAACAUGGGUCUCAAUGAGCCCUUGUAGUGGAUGUUGGUGACAGUUGGUCCACUGUAAGUGUGGGGUGUGCAUCA